rnacentral:lncRNA from 1 species
UGAAUUUGACCUACUUUUACCCAUGGCUUAUAAGUUUUUUACUACUAUUUACUAUAUUCUUGAGUCUAUUUAGUAUAUUUACUGGUUCAGAAGUGAUUUGGAAUAAAGUGAUAAUUUUGAAGCAUUUUGGAGAUAAAAAAAAGAAAACAUCCGAGCUGGCCAUCGAGCACGACCAUCAGUAGAUAUUGAAGAGGAAUAAUCGAUCAACAACGAGUGCACAAAAUCCCGUUUGGCCCAAGCCAACUUAACGCCGAAGACUUCACCAAAUUACAAAAUUACCCCUGACGAGUUUUAAC